GUGCUUGCUUCAGUAGCACAUAUACCAGCAUUAUAAUGAUAGAGAAGAUUAACACGGUCCCUAUGCAAGGACAACACAUAAACUCAAAUAUUCCAUAUUUUU
ensembl:snRNA U6 U6 spliceosomal RNA